rnacentral:sRNA from 1 species
AUUCGACUUCUUAGCCCUGGUCUCGAUCAAAAUGUCAUCUGCAACAGAUCGUUUUCAACAAGAGUCUGGGUUUAUCCAGAAAUCCAUUCUGAAUAACAUUGGGAUGUCUGAUAAUACACUCCUAGCAAACAGCAGUUGAACAGUUGAAUUCAGACUUAUGAUGUCUUUUUCUUUUAGAACAUAAAGAAUAUUUGAGCAAGGACCGUUUCGUUGCGCUUGGAAAACUCAUCUAGCUGCGAGACAGAAAAAAAAGAGCUGCAACCGAAUGUAUCCGGAACAAGUGCCCCCAGAUUGUCCCCAUAUGUUUGUUGCAAAAGCAAAAGACGCCUCAGAUUGUUGAAGACAGACAAGCGGCUGUCGGUUCAAAUUAACUCUGAAAAAGAGGUGGUGGUAUAUAAUUAUUUAACUUCCGCCUCGGUGAUAUAAUAACAAGAUGCUGGCUAGUCAUGUGAUGCAAUGGUUCCAAAUGACUGGACAAUACGGUGUAUUGUUACCGGCAAUCUUUUCAAGCGACAGAAAUUUACAACAUUACGUUCGCUUUGGCCAUAUUCUCCUUCAUGAAUGGCAUCUUUGUGGUCUUUGUGCCAAAUUUAUUAUAAUUAUAUUAUAACAGUGUGUAAGCCAAAACUUUAGUAAACUCAUCAAUCUGAUAUUUUUGCAAACGUUAUGUUUUUGGAGGUUCGUUAAACGACCGUCAAAGCCUCUUUUGCAUGUGAUAGUCUAUGAACUAUUGAAUUUUGAAAAAAGGAAAUGUUUAUCUCUGUAAUGUGUUUCUCUUGCAAGCAUCUUAAAAUUCGCUGAGAAAAUGACAUUUAGAAGAUAAUAUACAAAGGUUUCGUUCAUUCCACUCGCCUGAAUAAGUCUGGUUAUGUUAAUAAAACAUAAACUCAUUUCGCAACAGGAAUUUAGGAAUCCAAAUAUUACAAGCAAAGUUUGUAGGGGGAAAUUUGUUUAUAUAAUGAAAAUUGCAAACAAGUGAAAAACUGUCUUGCAGCCUAGAAUCAUUGUACUGACGUUCCUCCCCCCAAAUUUUAAUGUGUAAAAUUUACACAUUGAAAUUAUUUAAAUCAGCCGAAGUCUCUUUUAUUAAAUGACUGAUAACCU